rnacentral:rRNA from 1 species
CGUAGGGACCGAGCGUUGUCCGGAUUCAUUGGGCGUAAAGAGCUCGUAGGUGGCUGUUCAAGUCGAAUGUGAAAACUCGGGGCUUAACCUCGAGCCUGCAUUCGAUACUGGACGGCUAGAGUCUGGUAGGGGGAUCUGGAAUUCCUGGUGUAGCGGUGGAAUGCGCAGAUAUCAGGAGGAACACCGGUGGCGAAGGCGGGAUCCUGGGCCAGUACUGACACUGAGGAGCGAAAGCGUGGGGAGCAAACAGGAUUAGAUACCCUGGUAGUCCACGCCGUAAACGAUGGGCGCUAGGUGUGGGAGGUCAUCGACUCCUUCCGUGCCGCAGCUAACGCAUUAAGCGCCCCGCCUGGGGAGUACGGCCGCAAGGCUA